GACAGAGGGUGCAAACGUUGUUCGGAAUUACUGGGCGUAAAGAGUGUGUAGGCGGUGCUCCCAGUCUGUUGUGAAAUCUCCCGGCUUAACUGGGAGGGUGCAGCGGAAACUAGAGUGCUAGAGGGUGGGAGAGGUAAGCGGAAUUCCUGGUGUAGCGGUGAAAUGCGCAGAUAUCAGGAGGAACACCAAUGGCGAAGGCAGCUCGCUGGGACGGUACUGACGCUGAGACGCGAAAGCGUGGGGAGCAAACAGG
rnacentral:rRNA from 1 species